GUGCACCUACGGGAGGCAGCAGUAGGGAAUCUUCCACAAUGGACGAAAGUCUGAUGGAGCAACGCCGCGUGAGUGAAGAAGGGUUUCGGCUCGUAAAGCUCUGUUGGUAGUGAAGAAAGAUAGAGGUAGUAACUUGCCUUUAUUUUACGGUAAUUACUUAGAAAGUCACGGCUAACUACGUGCCAGCAGCCGCGGUAAUACGUAGGUGGCAAGCGUUGUCCGGAUUUAUUUGGCGUAAAGCGCGUUCAGGCGGUUC
rnacentral:rRNA from 1 species